UCUCAAUGAUGAUUUCAAUAGAUGACGAGUCUGAUAUAUUAUCCAUUCCAUUCAAUUAUGAAGACGAAUCGAGGCAUUUGUCUGAGAGCC
rfam:Helianthus annuus linkage group 11, whole genome shotgun sequence.